rnacentral:rRNA from 3 species
GAGAGAGUAAACAGUGCGUGAAACCGCUCAGAGGUAAACGGGUGGAGUUGAACUGUAAGCUCCGAGGAUUCAGCUGGUGAGUGUGUCAUGGGCUUGGUCAUUUUCGGCCGGCCUUCAGAGUCCGCUUAGCUGCGGGCCCCUGUUUCUUCGGAAUUGGGGGUGUGCGUUGCGCUUGUCAAGUGCUGUGCGCUCUGGGGGUUGCCGGGCUGGCUCGCCAGUGCACUUUCUCGGAGUGGUCACCACGACCGGCGUUGUUGUCUUGCUGCUGUGGUCGAACCGGUCAUAUUUGGUCCUUGCGGCUGAACUUGAUCGGGAUGGCAGGUAGCUCAUUGGUUGGCUUGUCCAGUCUUUGGGUGUAAUCAGCUGGCCGCAGUGGUAGUGUGCAAUGCGUCGGAGACAGCGGCUCGAGGUAUGUGCUUGUGUUCCGUUGGUUGGCGGUGUCGGGUUUGACUGACGUGUUUACCUGCUUCGGUGGGUCCGUUGGUAGCUCGGUCCUGUUUGGCUAGCGGCUGCACUUGUGAUACCGCCCAUGGGCCCAUAGUCUGUGGUGUAGCAGCAAACGAUCCACCUGACCC